rnacentral:rRNA from 1 species
AGCGAACGCUGGCGGCGUGCUUAACACAUGCAAGUCGAGUGCGCGGUUCGUAGCAAUACGAACUGGCGCACGGCGCACGGGUGAGGAACACGUGGGCAACAUGCCCUCCGAUGGGGAAUAACCCGCCGAAAGGCGGGCUAAUACCGCAUACGAUUCCGGGGACCUCGGUUCCUGGACUGAAAGCCCGCAAGGGCGUCGGUGGAGUGGCCCGCGGCCGAUUAGCUUGUUGGCGGGUAACGGCCCACCAAGGCAAUGAUCGGUAGCCGGUCCUGAGAGGAUGAUCGGCCACACUGGAACUGAGACACGGUCCAGACUCCUACGGGAGGCAGCAGUGGGGAAUCUUGCGCAAUGGGCGAAAGCCUGACGCAGCGACGCCGCGU